GGGUAUUAUACUACUUAUACUUGGCGGUUAGCGUAAAAUAUACUAAGGGACAGAUGGGCACAUUUGGUCCUCCGUAUUUUGAUGGAGCCUUUAUCGUUGGAUGCGCAAUGAUCCUAACAAGCCUGAUGGACGUUUUCAUGUACCGAAAGUUCAAUUCCAACGACUCGGCCAUACUGGACAGUUUAUUAAAAUAUGCUUGCAUUGAAGUUUUCCUUACUUUAAUUACAAUUAUUGGUGGCGUUAUUGGCAUCUUCUUCGUAUCUAUAUAUGGUGUUCCGAAGUGUGACCCUUCAGGUUUCUUCAGCCACUGUAAUUAUA